UGGGGAAUAUUGGACAAUGGGCGCAAGCCUGAUCCAGCCAUGCCGCGUGGGUGAUGAAGGCCCUAGGGUUGUAAAGCCCUUUCAGCGGGGAAGAUAAUGACGGUACCCGCAGAAGAAGCCCCGGCUAACUUCGUGCCAGCAGCCGCGGUAAUACGAAGGGGGCUAGCGUUGCUCGGAAUUACUGGGCGUAAAGCGCACGUAGGCGGAUUGUUAAGUCGGGGGUGAAAUCCUGGAGCUCAACUCCAGAACUGCCUUCGAUACUGGCGAUCUCGAGUUCGGGAGAGGUGAGUGGAACUGCGAGUGUAGAGGUGAAAUUCGUAGAUAUUCGCAAGAACACCAGUGGCGAAGGCGGCUCACUGGCCCGAUACUGACGCUGAGGUGCGAAGGCGUGGGGAGCAAACA
rnacentral:rRNA from 1 species